rnacentral:lncRNA from 1 species
CAGCAGACCGCAUAACAUUAGGUUGCAGCAGACAGCAUAACAUUAGGUUGCAGCAGACAGCAUAACAUUAGGUUGCAGCAGACAACAUAACAUUAGGUUGCAGCAGCCAGCAUAACAUUAGGUUGCAGGAGACUACAUAACAUUAGGUUGCAUCAGAAAGCAUAACAUUAGGUUGCAUCAGUUCAGCAUAACAUUAGGUUGCAGGAGAACAACAUAACAUUAGGUUGCAGCAGACAGCAUAACAUUAGGUUGCAUCAGUUCAGCAUAACAUUAGGUUGCAUCCGUUCAGCAUAACAUUAGGUUGCAUCAGUUCAGCAUAACAUUAGGUUGCAUCAGUUCAGCAUAACAUUAGGUUGCAUCAGACAGCAUAACAUUAGGUUGCAUCAGUUCAGCAUAACAUUUAGGUUGCAUCAGAACAGCAUAACAUUAGGUUGCAUCAGACAGCAUAACAUUAGGUUGCAUCAGAUCAUAACAUUAGGUUGCAUCAGACAGCAUAACAUUAGGUUGCAUCAGAUCAUAACAUUAGGUUGCAUCAGUUUCAGCAUAACAUUUAGGUUGCAUCAGACAACAUAACAUUAGGUUGCAUCAGACAGCAUAACUUUAGGUUGCAUUAGAUCAGCAUAACAUUAGGUUGCAUCAGAUCAGCAUAACAUUAGGUUGCAUCAGAAAGCAUAACAUUAGGUUGCAGGAGAUAGCAUAACAUUAGGUUGCAUCAGUUCAGCAUAACAUUAGAUUGCAUCAGAAAGCAUAACAUUAGGUUGCAUCAGAUCAGCAUAACAUUAGGUUGCAUCAGAUCAGCAUAACAUUAGGUUGCAUCAGAUCAGCAUAACAUUAGGUUGCAUCAGAAAGCAUAACAUUAGGUUGCAGCAAGACUCAUAUGUCUGAUGAUGAAAGGGAAAUCCCAGUCUAGUUUCAUAAAAAUUAUGGUUAAUGCUGUCUCUUUUUCUCUC